rnacentral:lncRNA from 1 species
AACAAAACACUGACCUUGGUCCACAGACAACACCCACGUCCACGUGGUGGGUGGGACUGGCUCCGUCAGAGGAUGGGAAGAUGAGAAGUGCUUGUCGCAGGCCUGGAGAUGGGGACCACCCAGGCAUGCAGGGGAUGCUGCCUCUCCUCCAUCCAACAACAAGCCUGCGUGUGCCCAGCCCCCUCUGGUACACGCAUUGCUCCCCAUCCUCGGCAUUGAUCAAUUGAAAAUAAGACCUUGGAAGAACCCCUUGCAAAGCUGACAUUGUACGAGCCAAGGCAGUGGCCCCGGAGAGGGUCAGCGAGGGGCCUCCACUGUCUGAGUCCGCUCCUGGCAACGCCUGCUCUCUGCACUCAGAGGCCCGGUCCCGGCAGCUGCCACGUUGCUCAGAAGUUCUGGCAGGGGGAGCCUGAAACCCCUGUCUGCUGGCGACACUCCCGGAGCAGCAGGAAAUCUCUACAUUUUAUUUUUUUUCUUAACAGACAAAAGUAUUUGACUCCAGAAUGAUUUCCAGGAAUUACAGUAUGAGAACUUAGUCUUUGAGAUUUUUAUUUUCUUCUUAAAAAAAUAAAAAUGAAAUCAAAGCAGAAGACACUGGUUGAGCAGACAGCACACUAGCACAUUCCACUUCGCAACAAAACCUGCGU